AUUCCAGCUGCCAGCGGAAUUUAAAGUUCCGAGUGUCUGUCUCCUUAAGGGUGCUGCAGAGGGCCUUCCUCAGGACCAGAAUGCAGUCACUGAUACAAGAAUAUGUCACUGUGCUCGUACCUACACGCGACAGGUACUGCUCCACAAAGCCAACCUCACAUCUCUCUGAUGUCACUCAGCAGAGUCCAGAGUCUAGACUGUCAUUGAAGACCAC